CCUACGGGCGGCAGCAGUCGAGAAUCAUUCACAAUGGGGGAAACCCUGAUGGUGCGACGCCGCGUGGGGGAAUGAAGGUCUUCGGAUUGUAAACCCCUGUCAUGUGGGAGCAAAUUAAAAAGAUCGUACCACAAGAGGAAGAGACGGCUAACUCUGUGCAAGCAGCCGCGGUAAUACAGAGGUCUCAAGCGUUGUUCGGAAUCACUGGGCGUAAGGCGUGCGUAGGCUGUUUCGUAAGUCGUGUGUGAAAGGCGCGGGCUCAACCCGCGGACGGCACAUGAUACUGCGAGACUAGAGUAAUGGAGGGGGAACCGGAAUUCUUGGUGUAGCAGUGAAAUGCGUAGAUAUCGAGAGGAACACUCGUGGCGAAGGCGGGUUCCUGGACAUUAACUGACGCUGAGGCACGAAGGCCAGGGGAGCGAAAGGGAUUAGAUACCCGAGUAGUC
rnacentral:rRNA from 1 species